AGAAAAGACUAGAAGAGAAAAGAUUAACUCAUCUUCUUCAAUUUUCCUCUCUUCCCCGUGUACCAAGAGGAAACCAUUUCUUCUUCAUGUUUUUUUUUCUACACCAAAAUUUCUUCAAAUUUUCACUUCCAAUCAAUUAUCUACUUUCUCCCAACACCUUUCCAAAGUAGAAUUUGAAGAAAAGAAGAGAAAUUAAAGAAAAAAAUUCAAGGUUAAGGGAGAGUGAAUAGUAACAAGGGUUGGGAAAUUGAAAGAAGAAGUGGAAGGGAGGAGUGGAAACUCCAAAGGGAAAGGAAAGGAAGAAUAGAAAUUUUAAGCUUGUGGAAGAUUUUGGAAGGUUUAAGGUUGUAGAUCCAAGAAACAGUAGAUCAAGAUCUGCAUCAACCCAGUCAGAGUUACAUCAUUAACUAUAUUGGGGUAUAUUUUGUAAAUUUUAUAUAAAGUUACUUUUGGAAAUAUGGCAUGUACAUAAAGUUUUAGAGAUAA